rnacentral:rRNA from 1 species
UACGGAGGGAGCUAGCGUUGUUCGGAAUUACUGGGCGUAAAGCGUACGUAGGCGGUUAUUCAAGUCAGAGGUGAAAGCCUGGAGCUCAACUCCAGAACUGCCUUUGAAACUAGGUAACUAGAAUCACGGAGAGGUUAGUGGAAUUCCGAGUGUAGAGGUGAAAUUCGUAGAUAUUCGGAAGAACACCAGUGGCGAAGGCGACUAACUGGACGUGUAUUGACGCUGAGGUACGAAAGCGUGGGGAGCAAACAGG